CUAGGAAGAGGCAGCACGUUGCAUAGUUCUAGGGAAGGCACUUUUCCCACUUGGGGGUAACUGUAUGCCCUGCUGCCUGUCUUAG
rnacentral:pre_miRNA from 8 species